GGUACAGCUCACCCUCCCGUCUAGACCGCGACCCGGACAAGACCGGACCCAGGUCUCCUGACGAUAAUGGACAAAGGAAGCAAAGUCCAGCUCAGUCUCAAAGCAAUGCGUGUAGUUUAUUCAGCAAUCAGCCAACAUGGAGAACAGGGGAUUAUUCAGGAUUACAAAAACAGAGCUGAUUUCUUCAAAAACAGCACCACCAUACAGAAGUGUCCCUUGUAUCACUACAAGAGGUGACUGACUGUCACAUGCGAUUGCUCUCCAGAUUAUCACACCAGCAGUUGGGGCAGCCGUCGUUCUACAGCAAAGAAAGCAGCAUCAUGGUGGACUCACAACACAGCCAUUUAGCCCCAAGACAAACAUGGAUCCUUCC